AGAGCGAACGCUGGCGGCAGGCUUAACACAUGCAAGUCGAGCGGGCGUAGCAAUACGUCAGCGGCAGACGGGUGAGUAACGCGUGGGAACGUACCUUUUGGUUCGGAACAACCCAGGGAAACUUGGGCUAAUACCGGAUAAGCCCUUACGGGGAAAGAUUUAUCGCCGAAAGAUCGGCCCGCGUCUGAUUAGCUAGUUGGUGAGGUAAUGGCUCACCAAGGCGACGAUCAGUAGCUGGUCUGAGAGGAUGAUCAGCCACAUUGGGACUGAGACACGGCCCAAACUCCUACGGGAGGCAGCAGUGGGGAAUAUUGGACAAUGGGCGCAAGCCUGAUCCAGCCAUGCCGCGUGAGUGAUGAAGGCCCUAGGGUUGUAAAGCUCUUUUGUGCGGGAAGAUAAUGACGGUACCGCAAGAAUAAGCCCGGCUAACUUCGCGCUAGCAGCCGC
rnacentral:rRNA from 1 species